CAGCCGCCGCGGUAAUACAGAGGGUGCGAGCGUUAAUCGGAUUUACUGGGCGUAAAGCGUGCGUAGGCGGCUUCUUAAGUCGGAUGUGAAAUCCCUGAGCUUAACUUAGGAAUUGCAUUCGAUACUGGGAAGCUAGAGUAUGGGAGAGGAUGGUAGAAUUCCAGGUGUAGCGGUGAAAUGCGUAGAGAUCUGGAGGAAUACCGAUGGCGAAGGCAGCCAUCUGGCCUAAUACUGACGCUGAGGUACGAAAGCAUGGGGAGCAAAUAGGAUUAGAUACCCCAGUAGUCCCUGUCUCUUAUAC
rnacentral:rRNA from 1 species